rnacentral:rRNA from 1 species
GACGAACGCUGGCGGCGUGCCUAAUACAUGCAAGUAGAACGCUGAAGGAGGAGCUUGCUUCUCUGGAUGAGUUGCGAACGGGUGAGUAACGCGUAGGUAACCUGCCUGGUAGCGGGGGAUAACUAUUGGAAACGAUAGCUAAUACCGCAUAACAGUAGAUAUCGCAUGAUAUCUACUUGAAAGGUGCAAUUGCAUCACUACCAGAUGGACCUGCGUUGUAUUAGCUAGUUGGUGAGGUAACGGCUCACCAAGGCGACGAUACAUAGCCGACCUGAGAGGGUGAUCGGCCACACUGGGACUGAGACACGGCCCAGACUCCUACGGGAGGCAGCAGUAGGGAAUCUUCGGCAAUGGACGGAAGUCUGACCGAGCAACGCCGCGUGAGUGAAGAAGGUUUUCGGAUCGUAAAGCUCUGUUGUAAGAGAAGAACGAGUGUGAGAGUGGAAAGUUCACGCUGUGACGGUAUCUUACCAGAAAGGGACGGCUAACUACGUG